AAGCCAGCGUGAGCACAGGGCUGCACAGAGCAAGCAGGGGCAGAACCACCCAUUAGGCGGGGUUGGGCGACCGGCCCAGCUAUGGCCCACGUCGCCCCACCCCCCCUUGGGCCUCCAGAUACCCAAAAACCGAUCAGGCGCAGGUGCACCGAAGAAAUCAACCAAUCACGGAAAUAGCGAUGCAUCGUAUUCCAAUCGGCGACCUGUUCAUCUUCAUUCUUUCUUUGCUAGUUCAUGCCGCAUCGCCACAAAGUCGUCAUCGUCCCGUGCGUGCCGCCGCCGCCCUGUUUGCCUUAGCCCACCAGCCGCGCUUCCCAUCCGGCCAGGCCAGCCCAUUGUGGCGGCGUGCCUCCAGCCAGCCUGGAGCCGGAGGGAACCGGCUGGCGGGCAGCAUGGAGCCUCUGCUAGCCACCACGCUGCACGCUGCAACCACCAACAAAGGAGGAGGAAGAACUGUUCCCCGCUUGCUGUUGCUGCUACGUUGCUUGGCGUCUUGGCCGCUAAUGCACGUCUGUUUCUGAUCUGUAGCAAGGAAGACAAGAGGAGAAUAGAAGACAACUGUCAGGACAUUUUUUAUCGGUUCCAAAGAAGAGUAGGGAAGAAAAGGUGGAAAUUCGUCUCGAAUUGAUGUUCCUUGUUGCAAGGAAACUAGUCAAGAUGAGAUGUCAGAGGGGAAUGAUGACAUGCAGAACUAGUGGGGAGUGUGGUCUACUUAGUCUUUAGAGAUAUCCAGAGGACAUACUUGCAUGCUAGGUAUAGGGUUUCGUCCUGGUGACAAUAAGUUGGUCAGUGAACCAACCGAUGUAAUAUGCAGUAAAGCUGGUGGAAAAAAAGUAAUAAUAAUAAACGGAACCACUGUUGUAGA